rnacentral:tRNA from 1 species
GUCUUUGUAGCUUAACAAUAAAGCAUGGCACUGAAGCUGCCAAGAUGGCCUACUAAAUGCCCGACGACA